rnacentral:lncRNA from 1 species
GACGACUUUCUCAGCUAAUCUUUACUCAGCCAAAAAAGAGAUAAGCUAUCAACAUUCAUUCUUCUUGGCCCCCAGGAAUAAGCAGUGCCUCCUGGGGUGGCCAGAUACAUGUAUACUGAUCCGUGUCAUCGGAAAGAAGGAGGGGAUCUACUGGAUUCUGAUUUGGGAUCCAAUUCAGAAUGGAUCAUACAGUCAGGGAAGUUAUAAUGCAGUAUAAGUAACGAACGUCUCCAUUCCUAAUGUAAUGUGAAGGCUGCACUGCAUGGGCUCCAAAGUCCCAUCUACCUCUAACCUUCUGGACAUGUGGGUCAAGGAAUAAAAACUCUGGCAGGCAACAAAAAGGAUGGGAAAUGUGACAGGCACAGAGAUGUGCUACUCAGAUCACCCUUCAGGAAAGGACUUGCCUGCCAUCCAGCUGUGUGACGUGUGGGCAGCCGACAGGUUUCAGCUGUUAGAGCCUUUAGGCUCCAUCUCACUCUCGAGCUCAUGGAUUGCUCAGAGCAGAGCUUGGUCAAUAGUGGAACAAGGUGGUGACACCAAGGCUUAGCCCAGUGACUCCUGUGCUGAGCGAUCUUUGCUCCAGAGUUCCCCAUUGGUCUGGCAGAGACUGUCAGGUCUGCAUGAGGGUCUACCCAAUCCAACUUCCCUCCCUUUACUUGUACAGAGUUCCCUCUCUAAGACACCUUUUGUACUUCUAACUCCCUCUUAGGAUCUGCUUCCUGGAGAACCCCCAUGGUGACAGAGGAUGAGUUGCAAACAAAGUGGCAUGCAAUGCAGAAGAGGGUGUGAUGGAUCCAACCACUGGGGGAACUGAGGAAGGUGAAGUCAUGAAGGAAACUGCAUUUGAGUUGACUCUGAAGAUGAACAGGAGUUGAAUGAGUAGGAAAGAAGAAAAUAGGCAUUUCAAGCAGCGGGAUGGACACAUGCACAAAGGCAUGUUAUAAAGAGCAGGAUGUGGGAGCAUGGGUAAUGCAUGGAACCAUGUGGACGUGUGCAGUGGUCGGGGUGGGGGAUGAAGCGGGGAGAUAAAGCUGGGAAAUACGGGAUCCAACAUAAACAGCUGUCACAAACACUCUAUGUAUAUACUCCUAUUGGUUUGUAGACUCUGAUAAAGGGAAAUGGUAGUCCUGGGAGAAGAAUGAGCUGUACAAAGCAAUAAAAUAUGUAGAAUUCCAUAGCAUAGUAUUUUUGACAGCCCUAAAACAGAUAUUUUACUUCUAUGUAGGUGGUUUCCUUGAAAAAAUAGCACCUGCUAUUUGUUAAGGAGAGAAUGAAUUACUUGUCCCAUGGUACAGUUAAAUCAAUCAUAUCAUAACACCAAUCUAUCAUGUAAAAUUCAUCUCUAGGCCCAUGUUUUGAGGAAAGAAAAUGGCAGUUAAUAUUCCUAUUGCUGACUACUUAUUCAAGAGAAGAAAAAGACAUGUUUAUGUGGUUCUAAAAUAACUUCCUUAAGCCCAUUAUCAAAUUCUAACAAGGAAGACCAUCCAUCCUAAGGAAGUUAUUUUAUAAAUCAUAAUUUGCUUUUAUUAAAAAAAAAUUACCAAACUGCAUUCCAAGAAACACAGAGUCCUGUGGGUU